rnacentral:rRNA from 1 species
AUGCAUGGCACCACCUUCCCAGCUGAGAAACGAAGAUGCGUAUCUCCUUCCCCGCCUCCGGCAACCCGGUGCCUCGCAGCGCGCGACGCCGGCUCCGGCGCAUAUUCCAGGCCGACCUGGGACUCGCUGCAUGGAGAUUUGGUACGCCUCGUCGCGUCGGGCGUGCUAGCCGGAGAUCUAUUGGACUACGUCCGCUUCCGCGCCGUCUGCGCGCACUGGCGAUCGGAGACGCUCUCCCCGCGCGGCCAUGGGGUGGUCGAUCCCCGCUUCCACCCGCGCCGCUGGAUGAUGUUCCCGGAGCACCGUGGCCUCUACCCCGGACACCCGGAGCUGGGUGGCUACAUCCGCUUCUUCAACCUAGACUCAGGCGUCUUCGUCCGCGUCUGCCUCCCGCUGUUCAGGAGCCACUGCAUUCUCGAUUCGGUCCAUGGCCUCCUCCUCCAGCAGAGGGACAAGGACGCGGCCAUCCGUCUCCUCCACCCAUUCACCCGUGACAUCGUCGACCUUCCACCUCUCACCACUCUCGCCGCACAAAUGCCCGAGGGGACAGACCAGUCGCUCCGGCGGAUGAGAUUCAUCUCCACUUCGGCUUCCUUCGCUGCGGGAGUCGUCACCGUCUUGCUUACCUUCAAUAAGUUUGAGGGUGUGGCCGUGGAUACCUCCCUGGAGACGCAAUGGACGAUGCUAGGUUUGGAAUGCCCAGGGUGGUCGUAUCCGGUCUCAUUACACGGCAAGCUAUACGCAGUUGAUAUCGCGGCAAUCAACGUGACCGGUGCACCAAUGAUCUUCGAGAUGGACGCGGCACACCACCAUCGAGCUCGAGCCACACCAAAACUGAUCUUCACAUGCCCGGAAGACAAACAACGCCUCUACUCGAGCGAUCUGGUAGAGCAUGGCUCGGAAAUCUUAGUGGUUAGCCGUGACGACGAUUUCCUAUCCCAUAUUACUGUCUAUAGACAAAGAAAUAUUUGUGUAUCUUCCAAGGCAUUUCCUACCGUCCAGGCCAAUACUAUUGUCUAG